ACUGCAUGCAGCACAGAUGAAAGUCAGUU
rnacentral:piRNA from 1 species